GUCGAACGGUAACAGGAAGCAGCUUGCUGCUUCGCUGACGAGUGGCGGACGGCUUUGUAAUGUCUGGGGAUCUGCCUGAUGGAGGGGGAUAACUACUGUAAACGGUAGCUAAUACCGCAUAACGUCGCAAGACCAAAGAGGGGGACCUUCGGGCCUCUUGCCAUCAGAUGAACCCAGAUGGGAUUAGCUAGUAGGUGGGGUAACGGCUCACCUAGGCGACGAUCCCUAGCUGGUCUGAGAGGAUGACCAGCCACACUGGAACUGAGACACGGUCCAGACUCCUACGGGAGGCAGCAGUGGGGAAUAUUGCACAAUGGGCGCAAGCCUGAUGCAGCCAUGCCGCGUGUAUGAAGAAGGCCUUCGGGUUGUAAAGUACUUUCAGCGGGGAGGAAGGGGAAGCGGUUAAAUGCCGCUUUCUUUGACUGUACUGCGAGAAGAAGCAUCGGCUAACUGCGUGCCAGCAGCCGCGGUAAUACAGAGGGUGCGAGCGUUAAUCGGAUUUACUGGGCGUAAAGCGCGCGCAGGCGGUCUGUCAAGUCCGAUGUGAAAUCCGCGGGCUCAACCAGCGAACUGCAUCCGAAACUGGUGGGCUUGAAUCUUGUAGAGGGGGGGAGAAUUCCAGGAGUAGCGGUGAGAUGCGUAGAUAUCUGGAAGAAUACCGGGGGCGGAAGCGUGCCACUGGACCAAGAAUGACGACUCAGGGAGAAAAGGGGGGGGAGCAAAGAGGAAUUAAUUCCCCUGGUAAUCCCAGCCCCAAAACGAUGUCUACCCUGGAUGUUGGGCACUAGAAAGCGGGCCUUCCGGAGCAUACAC
rnacentral:rRNA from 1 species